UACGUAGGUGGCAAGCGUUGUCCGGAUUUACUGGGCGUAAAGCGCGCGCAGGCGGGCUGGUUAGUCUGGGGUGAAAUCUCACGGCUCAACUGUGAGAGGUCCCUGGAUACUGCCAGCCUUGAGGGGCCCAGAGGAGAGUGGAAUUCCGGGUGUAGUGGUGGAAUGCGUAGAUAUCCGGAGGAACACCAGUGGCGAAAGCGGCUCUCUGGGGGCAACCUGACGCUGAGGCGCGAAAGCGUGGGGAGCGAACCGGAUUAGAAACCCGCGUAGUCC
rnacentral:rRNA from 1 species